UACGAAGGGGGCUAGCGUUGCUCGGAAUCACUGGGCGUAAAGCGCACGUAGGCGGAUUGCUAAGUCAGGGGUGAAAUCCUGGAGCGUCAACUCCAGAACUGCCUUUGAUACUGGUGAUCGUUGAGUCCGGGAGAGGUGAGUGGAACUGCGAAGUGUAGAGGUGAAAUUCGUAGAUAUUCGCAAGAACACCAGUGGCGAAGGCGGCUCACUGGCCCGAUACUGACGCUGAGGCACGGAAAGCGUGGGGAGCAAACAGG
rnacentral:rRNA from 1 species